CAAGUUUCCUGAUUCAAAGAAUGAAGAAUGAUCCACAACAUUACUCGUCUACAGCUCUGAGUCUGCCCUGAGGCACAGCAGAUUUAUACACUACAUCUACACUGCUGAUCAUGAUGAGGCCUUUGCAGUCAUUUGGGUGUGUCUCCUCCUCUGUGGAAAGCAUUGUGCUUUUCCAUUCAAAAAGAAACCAGUUUAGCUGAAGGUCAUCAGCAGUGAACUCUGGAAAUGUUUGAAUCUACAGAAAAACAUAAGAGGGAG
ensembl:lncRNA